rnacentral:rRNA from 1 species
UACGUAGGGGGCGAGCGUUGUCCGGAUUUACUGGGCGUAAAGCGCGCGUAGGCGGAACUUCAAGUCCGGUCUGAAAGCCCCCGGCUCAACCGGGGAGGGUGGCUGGAAACUGGGGUUCUUGAGGGCGAGAGAGGAGGGUGGAAUUCCUGGUGUAGCGGUGAAAUGCGUAGAGAUCAGGAGGAACACCAGUGGCGAAGGCGGCUUUCUGGACGGUAACUGACGCUGAGAACGCGAAAGCGUGGGGAGCAAACAGG